rnacentral:lncRNA from 1 species
AGGCUUCGCUGGCGUAAAGUCCCCGGGAGCUUUGCCCCUCACGGAGAACGUUAGUUGACCCUGAUGGGGACCCGUAGGGUAAAGGUUUUGUUUUUGUUUUUUUUUACGGAAAAGGUUGUGGUUAGGCCCCUUGGAAAGUUGCGACAAAACUCGAGUUAGACAAGGAAGGUCGGAACUAAGUGGCCACAGCAACAAUGCACCAGCAAGCAGGGAGCGUGAUAGGAAGAGCUAAAGAGGAAUCGGGAAACCCUGGAGAUGGGUUUCACCAUGUUUCCCAGCCUUGUCUCAAACUCCUGACCUCAAGUGAUCCGCCGUCUUGGGUCUUCGAAAGUGCUGGGACAGCAGGAGUGAGCCACCGCAUCUGGCCCGGAAAGUGUUUUGGAGCGUAGAAAAAUGCAAAUUAUAGGGCUGCCUUCAAGGAUCCCGAAGGACCCACAGAUUUGCCGCAUCAGGCUCCUAUGCACGCCGGUAAUUUGAUGUGUUGAGAUGCACUGCCCAGUGCGUUGUUUUUACUGGAGGAGCUUGUGUGCGGAGCUCCUUGCUAGUGUAUGUGUUGGGAUGGGAGAGAAGUGCGGGAGAACUAUGAGAUAAUGCCCCCUGAUCCUCAGGGUCUUAGGAGGUAUGGUCGGAGAGGCUAAGCUAAAGUAUGAAAGCCGUGUGUAGGCCCUUCUGUGUAGUGCAGAAAAGGUAGAGGUAUGUGAUUUGAAAGAGUAGGGAUGACAUGGAGGAUGCGACUCCUGGUUGGAUCUAUAAACUAAUGUCUUUGGAACGAAAGCACAUGCAACCUUUUGAAAAUGGAUGGGUGAUAAUGAAAGACCAUUCCAGAGAAGAAACACCAUGGUGCAAAGGCUCAAGAGGCAUACUGGAAGUACAAUGAAGAGAGCAAUCUAACUGAAAUGGGAAAAAAAGAAACAAAGAGUAAAAAGUAAGAUUUGAUGAGAAAGAUGGAAUCGAUUUUUAAAUUUUUUUAUCUACACAACAAAAUUUAUUAUCUUAACCAUUUUUGAGUGAAUAAUUCGUUAGUAUUAAGUAUAUUUACCUCGUGCGGCCAGUCUCCAGAAUUCUUUUCAUCUUGCAAAACAAACCCCGAACCCAUUAAACAAUUUCUCAUUCGCCAUUUUCCAGCUAGCCUUGGUAACCUCCAUUCUAGUUCUGUCUCUGUGAAUUUGACUGUGUACCCCGUGUAAGUGGUAUCAUACAGUAUUUGUAUUUUUGUGACUGGCAUAUUUCACAUAGCAUAAUCUCCUUGUGGUUUAUCCAUCUUGUAGCAUGUGUCAGAAUUUCCUUCCCUUUUAAGACUAAAUAAUAUUCCAUUGUGUGUA